rnacentral:lncRNA from 1 species
AGGUCUUUAUUUUUCAUAAAUAAAUAUCUCAACCAUAAUCUUUUGAUACAAGCGAGACAUUGGCAGAUGAAAAUUGAAGGGAGGACAUCAGGUGCAAAGAAAAACACUCAUACCAACUAGAGCUACAAGUUACUUGAUCAACUCAAGUACUAUUAUUAAAAUCCACAGAAUUUUCAAACUGAAUCCGCCAACUUGGGUUCUUCGGUUGUUGUGGGGGGAACAUAUUCACCAAAACCACAAGCCUCUUCCUCAACAAAACCCAUCAUCUCUAACCCUAAAAACUGCAUGAACCAAAAUAAUUGGCACCGUACAAGCUAAAGUCACAAACAGAUAUUCGGCUGCAUCCGUAAGUAUGAGCUCAAUCGUCGUCCCAAUGGCCAACAAAACCAGCAUCAAACGCCUUUCGACGGUCUUGUGCAGCAGCAGAGAAUCAGGUACUACCCUCAACAGCGCAAGGUACGAACAUCCCGCUGCCGUCAUUAUCACCAAGAAAAUUAGAGACAUCCGGCGCUGAGGCACUAGGGUUAUGGAGAGUACGAUCCAUAUGAAGAGUGUGUAGUACGAUCCGAAGUAACCAAAGUUUCGGGUGAAGCGAACCGCGGCAGCUUCUGGGGUUGCCGGGAUGUUGAAGAAGCAGAAGAGCUUGAAGUCCUUGCUCAUUUUUCCGGUUGAAUCUUUCGGUUUAUGGGGAUCAUCAGUAGGUGUUGGUGUGGAGAUGGUGGACGGCCUUUUCAUGGUGCCGUAGUCAGCCAUUUUCUGACCAAACAAAUAUGGUGUUUAAUUUGAAUUGAAGGGAUUAGAAAGGUACUCGCUGAUGUUUUGGAUCGAAUAAGUUAUAAGUUUUGAAAGGGUAAUGCAUUUGUAUAUAUACACACACGCAUGAUAGAGAGUGACAGUAGCAACUUCAAGGAAAUAAGUCAAGACGGACGUUUUAAACAAAGUGACGAUUACUACGACAUUUUUGUCCACAUUUGAGUGGAAAUUUCAGGGUGAAUUACAAGAAGAGCGUCCUGGCUAAAAACAAAUCUGUUGCUGUGCGGUAAGUUAAUUUCAAAUUCUCGAAUUCUCAGAUUUGUUUGGUUAAUUCUCUUGAUACAUAAGAGAUACUCUUAUUACCAGUUCAUCACAUGACAAGUUUUUAAUAUACAAAUGACAUACUUUUCGUAUCCUUGACAAACAUAUGUUCAACGAUUAAAUAGGGCUGUAAGUAGAUAGGAUAAAAUUAUUUCUUAUUUUGUUCCUUAUUGUAAAUAGAGUUGUAAGUAAUUUCCACAUUUAUGUAAAUAAUAUUGCCUAUUCAAUACAUUUACAACUUUCAGAAUGUUUUAUAUGGUUCUAAAACCCGCAGCAUAGCAUGGGCACUCUUUUCUAGUUUGAGCUAAAAGAAACAAAAUGAUAAAUUUGGCAUGGCUCGUUCAACGUAUCCUCUCUUGUUUGUAGGGGUGGGCACUAUUAGGAAAAAAUAUUUCUCAUUAAUUCAAUGCAUAACUUUCACUUUCAGUAUUUAUACAAGGCUAUCACAACCAUCACAGUUGUCAUCACAACUAACAAAAGGAAUAACUAAACUAACUAACUAAACAUUCCUUAGCCUCUAAGUAUUAUCCCUUGAAGGUGUAAUUACAUUUUUAUCCUUAAUAUCCCCCCGCAAACGAGAUUGUGGUAUUCGCAGUUGUAGUUCGUCACGAAGAAGGAUGAACCGAGGCUGUGAUAGAGAUUUGGUGCAAAUAUCUGCUACCUGAUCCUGUGUACAGAUAAACUGCACAGAAACUUGAUUGGCUAGAACCUCUUCACGAAUAUAAUGGUAAUCAAUCUCGACAUGCUUUGUUCUAGCAUGAAAAAUGGGAUUUUGCUAAGGAAAUGGCAGAGAGAUUGUCACACCAGAUCUUGAGAAAAUGAGGUAGAGAAUAAGAAAUGUCAGCCAGCAAUUUACAUAUCCAUGUGAUUUCUGCAACUGUAUUGGCAAGAGAUCGAUAUUCAGCUUCAGUUGAGGAACGAGCAACAGUAGGUUGCUUCUUGGCACUCCAACUAAUGAGAGAGUUGCCAAAAUAUACACAAUAUCCACCUGUGGAUCUUCUGUCCAAAGAACACCCUGCCCAAUCGGCAUCUGAAAAAGCUUGAAGAGAUGGAGCCUGAGAUGACUUGGAGAACCAUAAUCCAAGGUCAAGAGAACCCUUAAGAUAUCUGAGAAUACGUUUUACUGCUUGUAGAUAUGAAAGUCUUGGACUAUGCAUAAACUGACAUACCAAAUUAACAGCAAAACUAAGAUCAGGUCUAGUCCCGGUUAAGUACUGAAGAGCUCCAACUAGAGAUCGAUAUUCAGAAGCAUUUUCAAGCAGGGGAUACGAGUGAUCCAGCUUGGUGGUACUGAGAGGGGUGCUGCAGGGCUUGGCACCUUCCAUUUUUGCUUUUUCCAAUAGAUCCAAAAUAUACUUGGUUUGAGAGAUUAAAAGACCAGAAGAUGAUCUUUUAACUUCAAUACCAAGGAAGUAGUGAAGGGCACCAAGAUCCUUGAUGGGAAAAAGGGCACUGAGUUGAGUGAUGACUUAUUGACAAGCUGCAGAUGAGGGGCCGGUGACUAAGAUGUCAUCUACAUAGAGUAGGAUGAAUGCCGGAGUAGGAAAACUCUUGAUAAACAGAGAAUGAUCACUUUCAGAGUCUUGAAACCCAAGAGAAUGCAGAGCACUAUGAAGCUUGUCAUACCAAGCUCGAGGAGCCUGUUUCAAACCAUAAAGGAAUCUGUGAAUAUGACAAACAUGAUGUGGUUUUGUUGGAUCUUCAAAGCCAGGUGGCUGUUGCAUAAACACUGAUUCAGUAAGUGUGCCAUGGAGAAAGGCAUUACUGAUAUCUAAUUGAUUGAGGAACCAAUCAAAUUGAGCAGCAAGAGUGAGAAUGAGACGAAUAGUCACUAGUUUGGCCACUUAACUAAAGGUUUCAGUGUAGUCAAGACCCUCUUGUUGGUGAAACCCUUUAGCAACCAAGCGGGCUUUGUACCUGUCAAUAGAGCCAUCUGGUUUCCUUUUGAUCCGAAACACCCACUUACAUCCCACAAGAUUAUGAGAAGAAGAAGGUGGUACAAGGGACCAUGUACCAGUUGUUACAAGGGCAUUGAACUCCUCUUGCAUUGCUAUAUGCCAAUGAGAGUGUUUAGAAGCUUGUAGGUAGGUUGUAGGAACAUAGUCAACUACAAGAUGGAAAGGAAUAGGGUGCUUGGUUGUAGCUAAUGCUUUGGAUUUGAAUAUGCCAGAUUUGGAUCUGGUUUGCAUUAGGUGGUUGCUAAUAGGUAAUAUAGGCUGGGAUGAGUGGGGAUUUGGGGAAGCUGCAGAGGUUUGGAUCUGGUAUGGAGAAGCUGCAAAGUUUGGGAUCUGGUUUGGAGAAACGGCAGAGGUUGUAUUUUAGGAGGUUGUAUUUGGUGUAGAGGUAUGAUGAGGAAGAUAAGAGGUAAAUGUGAGUGAUGAGGGAAUAGAGGAUUGGUAUAAGGGAGAUGAGGAGACAGGUUGGGAUGGAGAAGGUUGGAAGGUAUGAAAUGGAAAAGUUGACUCAUCAAAUAGGACAUGCCUUGAAAUACAACAUGUGAGUAGAUGGGUGUAAACACAGGUAGCCCUUGUGAUUUAAGCUAUAUCCCAAGACCACACAGGGCUUGCUUUUAGGAUCUAGUUUUGAGGAUGUGUAUGGUUUCAACCAAGGGAAACAACUACAACCAAAAACCUUGAGAGAUUUAUAGUCAUGUGCUUUCUGGAAAAUAGACUGCCAAGGAGAGUAUCUGGAUAUAGUAGGUAACCUGUUGAUGAGAUAGCCAGAGGUAGCAAAAGCCUCAACCCAAUAAGCAUGAGGCACUUUAGAUGCUGCCAAUAGGGUUCGAGAAGUCUCGACAAUAUGUCGAUGCUUAUGUUCUGCACACUCAUUUUGCUUGAGGGUGUAAGGACAAGUGAGCUAAUGAUGAAUGCCAUGGCUAGCUAAGAACUGAGAGAAUGCAAUGCUAACAAAUUCACCACCAGAAUCUGAGCGUAAUGUAAUAACUUUUGUACACAGAGAAUUCUCAACAAGUAAUUUCCAUUGCAUAAAAGUGGAGAGGACAUCAGAUUUACACUUUAAAGGAUAGAACCAACAAUAUCUGGUAUAGUCAUCUAUGAAAAUGACAUAAUACCGAAAACCAUGAUGAGACAUUAUGGGUGAGGGUCCCCAAACAUCCGUAUGGAUAAGUUUUAAAGGCUUGCGGGUUGUACAAGUAGUACUAGAAAAAGGAAGUUUAGAACAUUUCCCUAGGGCACAAGCUGAGCAAAAAGUUUUAUUUGAAGCACCAAGAAGAGAAAUACAUAAUUGAGAGGCCAACUUAUUCAUGAUCUUUACAGAAGGGUGGCCCAAUCUUUGAUGCCAAAGAUGCUUUAUAUGGGGGUGGCCUCACGGGUAGUGUAGAAGCCAUCUGGAGUAGAAGACUCGACGGCUUUCUGGGCGGAAAUGGGGAAGUGGGUGGAGGCCCGCAAGGCGGACAAGUCGGAGGUGUAGGACUAUGUUGGGUUGGUGGGCCGGAUCUGUGCAUUGAGCUUGGCGGGGUUGAAGACCGAGGGGUCAACGUGGCCGGUGCUUUACUCAGAAUCCAUGAAGGUGUUGGGUCUGAUCAAAGAACAGCUCAAAAAGCCGGUUUAGGGAGUACCCAGAUGCCGAAAUGUUUGAAAGAUUGCAAGUUUGCAACGUUUUUCAUGAAGGGGGCCCAUUUUGUUGGAUGAGCCCACCUCAGGGUUGGACUCCACUACAGCUCAGCGAAUCCUGACCACACUAAAAAGGCUUGCUAGUGGGGUCUGUGUCUUCUCCAUUUCAUGUGCUCUACUCCUACAGUUGAGCUCUCUGUGAAAGGCAUGGUUGCCUAGAAAGAUAAAAGAGAGAGAGAGAUAGAAAAUGGGUUUUUGGAUGGUUUCUUAAAACUGCACAGAGUCUGCGAAGGUUUUCUGGAAAAGCACAAAGAGUGAGGUUUUCUGGGUUUUUGGGUUUCUGCAGAUUCACGGCGGAGGUGAAAAAGUGAAAGAGAACCGACAUAACUUUUCGUGUCGAUUCCCACAUACGGUGCCUCGCGUCGAUUCCCACAGACGGUGCCAAAUGUUGAUGCACAAAACCGGAGGGGUCUUGGGACAACGUAAAUCCGACCGUGAAUCUGCAAGAAAGUAAAUAACACAAGAUGUAUCGUGGUUCACCCUCAAUGUUUGGGCUACAUCCACACUGAUAUUUUAUUUCUCUGUGAUGUUGAAGAGGAUGGUGAGGCAGAGAGAGUUUGUGAGGUGAGAGUCAGGCCUCUGGGGUGAGGAGGCCCCCCCAAUUGUAAGGGUAAGGAGUCCCUUUUAUAGAAUAAGGGCUCUUCACUUAUUACAUCUUUGCCUCUUCCUUUAUUACAUAAUUACAUUUGAGUCCCCCGAGUAUUUAUACGAGGUCUAAAUACGGAGGCCCUAAAUAUGGUACAAACAAGAUUCAAACAUAAAAAUACUACUAGUUAGUAGUAAUUUGCAAUUCUAAAGUAAUUUUAAAGUACAAAAUUUGAGUCCAAUUAAUAACCCAAGAACCAAGAGGUUUUCUACGUUAAGGAUGUCAUCAAUUUUUUUCAAAAAUAUAGAAAAGGACUUUCCACAUCUUUCUUUAACAUCUUUCUUUAAGGCUACCCAUAAUGUAUUUUAAUAAUCAAAACAGUCUACAUUUUAUAUUUUAUUUCGAUAAUCAUCACAUAAAAAUUUUCAAGAAAAUUAAUUAGUCAUCUUAAAUUUUCAAGAAAUUAUAAUUUAUUGGAUAAAAUAAAAUGAAACUGUAGAUAAUCAAAUCGUAAAGAGGAAUGCUAGCAAUCUUCUCAUGUUGACAUUUUCGUUUAACUUUUUCAUCUCCCCAUCUCAUCUUGCAAUGUUGCUUAAUGAUUGGAACAGUCUACUUUUUACAUCACUAUUUAAAAAUCAUCAAUGCAAAAUAUUAACUAAACACGAAAUCAUUUAGUCAUCCAAUGGUUAUCCAAUAAAUAAACAAACCAUGUUUGUCAUUAUACACUUAAUUUUUUACCAUAUUUAUCAAACAAUUAAAUGAUAUAUUUGAUUAUUGGUUGAUUUUUUUACAGAGAUGAUUUUUAAAGUGUGAUCAAGAAAGUAGACGGUUUUGGUAAUCAAGCAACAUUGCAAGAUGAGGAGAGCCGAGAAGGUAGAACAAGAAUGUCCAAAUAACAACGUUGGUAGCAUCCUAAUGAUAAACCAAUUUCAUUUUUAACCCAUUUUUUGCAAGUAUAUUAAGAGAAAUUAAAAUUUGAACAAUUAUGAUCAUUGGAUUAAAACCAAAAAAUAGGUCUUUAUUUUUCUUAAAUAAAUAUCUCAACCAUAAUCUUUUGAUACAAGCGAGACAUUGGCAGAUGAAAAUUGAAGGGAGGACAUCAGGUGCAAAGAAAAACACUCAUACCAACUAGAGCUACAAGUUACUUGAUCAACUCAAGUACUAUUAUUAAAAUCCACAGAAUUUUCAAACUGAAUCCGCCAACUUGGGUUCUUCGGUUGUUGUGGGGGGAACAUAUUCACCAAAACCACAAGCCUCUUCCUCAACAAAACCAUCAUCUCUAACCCUAAAAACUGCAUGAACCAAAAUAAUUGGCACCGUACAAGCUAAAGUCACAAACAGAUAUUCGGCUGCAUCCGUAAGUAUGAGCUCAAUCAUCGUCCCAAUGGCCAACAAAACCAGCAUCAAACGCCUUUCGACGGUCUUGUGCAGCAGCAGAGAAUCAGGUACUACCCUCAACAGCGCAAGGUACGAGCAUCCCGCUGCCGUCAUUAUCACCAAGAAAAUUAGAGACAUCCGGCGCUGAGGCACUAGGGUUAUGGAGAGUACGAUCCAUAUGAAGAGUGUGUAGUACGAUCCGAAGUAUCCAAAGUUUCGGGUGAAGCGAACCGCGGCAGCUUCUGGGGUUGCCGGGAUGUUGAAGAAGCAGAAGAGCUUGAAGUCCUUGCUCAUUUUUCCGGUUGAAUCUUUCGGUUUAUGGGGAUCAUCAGUAGGUGUUGGUGUGGAGAUGGUGGACGGCCUUUUCAUGGUGCCGUAGUCAGCCAUUUUCUGACCAAACAAAUAUGGUGUUUAAUUUGAUUUGAAGGGAUUAGAAAGGUACUCGCUGAUGUUUUGGAUCGAAUAAGUUAUAAGUUUUGAAAGGGUAAUGCAUUUGUAUAUAUACACACACGCAUGAUAGAGAGUGACAGUAGCAACUUCAAGG